rnacentral:rRNA from 1 species
AUUGAACGCUGGCGGCAUGCCUUACACAUGCAAGUCGAACGGCAGCACGGGGCAACCUGGUGGCGAGUGGCGAACGGGUGAGUAAUGCAUCGGAACGUACCUUUCAGUGGGGGAUAACGUAGCGAAAGUUACGCUAAUACCGCAUAUUCUGUGAGCAGGAAAGCAGGGGAUCGCAAGACCUUGCGCUGAUUGAGCGGCCGAUGUCAGAUUAGCUAGUUGGUGAGGUAAAGGCUCACCAAGGCGACGAUCUGUAGCGGGUCUGAGAGGAUGAUCCGCCACACUGGAACUGAGACACGGUCCAGACUCCUACGGGAGGCAGCAGUGGGGAAUUUUGGACAAUGGGGACAACCCUGAUCCAGCCAUGCCGCGUGAGUGAAGAAGGCCUUCGGGCUGUAAAGCUCUUUCGGCCGGGAAGAAAUCGCACGGGCUAAUACCCUGUGUGGAUGACGGUACCGGAAUAAGAAGCACCGGCUAACUACGUGCCAGCCGCCGGCGUAACAC